AUUGAACGCUAGCGGCAUGCCUAACACAUGCAAGUCGAACGGCAGCACGAGGAGCUUGCUCCUUGGUGGCGAGUGGCGGACGGGUGAGUAACGCGUAGGAAUCUGCCUCGUAGUGGGGGACAACCCGGGGAAACUCGGGCUAAUACCGCAUAAUCUCUUCGGAGCAAAGUUGGGGACCUUCGGGCCUAACACUAUGAGAUGAGCCUGCGUUGGAUUAGCUAGUUGGUGGGGUAAAGGCCUACCAAGGCGACGAUCCAUAGCUGGUCUGAGAGGACGACCAGCCACACUGGGACUGAGACACGGCCCAGACUCCUACGGGAGGCAGCAGUGGGGAAUAUUGGACAAUGGGCGAAAGCCUGAUCCAGCAAUGCCGCGUGUGUGAAGAAGGCCUUCGGGUCGUAAAGCACUUUUAGUGGGGAAGAAAAAGACAAGGAUAAUACCCUUGGAAAUUGACGUUACCCACAGAAAAAGCACUGGCUAACUCUGUGCCAGCAGCCGCGGUAC
rnacentral:rRNA from 1 species